rnacentral:rRNA from 1 species
CCUACGGGAGGCAGCAGUGAGGAAUAUUGGUCAAUGGGCUUACGCCUGAACCAGCCAAGUCGCGUGAGGGAAGACUGCCCUAUGGGUUGUAAACCUCUUUUGUCAGGGAGCAACGCCGGCUACGUGUAGCCGGACUGAGAGUACUUGAAGAAAAAGCAUCGGCUAACUCCGUGCCAGCAGCCGCGGUAAUACGGAGGGUCCGGGCGUGACCCGGAUUUAUUGGGUUUAAAGGGAGCGUAGGCCGCAUGUCAAGCGUGCCGUGAAAUGUCCGGGCUCAACCCGGGCCUUGCAGCGCGAACUGGCGUGCUUGAGUCCGCGGAAGGCUAGCGGAAUUCGUGGUGUAGCGGUGAAAUGCGUAGAGAUGACGAAGAACACCGAUUGCGAAGGCAGCUUGCUGCAGCGGAACUGACGCUGAUGCGCGAAAGCGCGGGUAUCGAACAGGAUUAGAUACCCUUGUAGUC